rnacentral:misc_RNA from 1 species
AAGUCGUAACAAGGUUUCCGUAGGUGAACCUGCGGAAGGAUCAUUACCGAUUUAAGUGAGCCCACUGGUCCUUAGGGAUCAUGGUCUCGCGAAAUUUUGUAUUUAAAACCCCACUCUUGUAAUUAUAAAUCAUGUUAUAUUAUGAUAAGAAUAAAGAUCACUUUCAACAACGGAUCUCUUGGCUCUC